rnacentral:rRNA from 1 species
UACGUAGGGUGCGAGCGUUACUCGGAAUUACUGGGCGUAAAGCGUGCGCAGGUGGUUACGCAAGCCUGAUGUGAAAUCCCCGGGCUCAACCUGGGAACUGCAUUGGAGACUGCGUGGCUAGAGUGUGGCAGAGGGGGGUGGAAUUCCGCGUGUAGCAGUGAAAUGCGUAGAGAUGCGGAGGAACACCAAUGGCGAAGGCAGCCCCCUGGGUUAACACUGACACUCAUGCACGAAAGCGUGGGGAGCAAACAGG